AAAUAGUGGAGGGGUUUGACAGUUUACAGCUAAACUGAUUAUUUGCAAAUAUCAUUGCAUUUUGUGAUAAACAAUUAUUCCUUUUCUGCCACAUUGUUGGAGUGUACUAAUUGAAAUGUCCCAUUCAAUAUCCGCCUCUAUUUUCUAUUUAAUACAUUUGUAUCUUUUCUCUUUCUUCUCUAAGUAGAACGAACCUAUGUGAUCUGGUUGUGCAGCUGAAGUUUUGACUUGGCCUAAAUAUGCACACAACCAGUGGGCUAUCAUUUAUUUUAUUUGGCACUGUGUGUUUAUUUUAUUUUGUUUUAUUCCCGGCGUUGUCCCCCUCCAUCCACCUGACCUGCCAGGUCAGAGGGUAAGACAUUUCAAUGGCGGAAAAUCGUGUGAAAACGGAAAAAAUCUCUAGACAACACAGGAGCUUCUCAAGAGCAGAGGACAUUAAAAAGCUUUGGAACAAACCGGGGUUUUGUUUAAUUUGAGAAUUUUAAUAUGGUUCCACGUGUCGGCAAGGUCGGUUAUAAUGAUGCACUUUUUUGUGUUUCAGAGGCUUCUUGCAAAACUACAGGCAGUAGUGACCCGCCGUCUAUAGGCUAGGCUACUUUUUAUUCGUUUAUUUACUGGAAUCUCAGUAGCGCCAUUUAUCCCGUGUUUUUGUUUGUUUGUCUGUUGUUUUGCUCGCCGAGGAAAUCUCUUUUCCCCUUUGCUUUAUUUGCCGCGUCACAAGGGAAUGGAAAAAACAAAAAACCAUUUUGAACAGCAAAAACAAGUUAGAGGAAACUGCAGGCCGGCUGAUCCUGGAGUUUGAGCUGACCCACAACGAUCACCCUGUUGCUGCCAGGUCGAAUCACCAUCCUCAGACGCCCUUAUCGCAGACGCCCCAUACAGCCGAGUGUAGGACCUGCCUGAGUGCAGCAGCCGGUGCAGACGCUGCAGUCCGCUGCGAUUUCCACCUGCUCCGUGACGUUGGCGUCGCCCGCUUCUGUUCCAGCUCCUCACCUUCAGCUGCAGUGGGUCACCGGUGCACAGAAUUCCGCAUCUAAGUUCCCUUCUGGCCACCGCCCAGCGUUCUAUGAUAACAAGUACGGUACUUAAGAGGUACUUUACAGGUACGUUUUUUUUUUUUUUUUUAAAUCUAGCUCACGAUCAAGAUUCCUUUUUUAUGCACAAGAUAAAAUGUGUUGUCGUUUGCCAGCAUCCGAAUGUGGACAUUACAAUUACAGCGUUUUGAGGUUUUGCAAUUUAUUCAACGUGCUGAAUUUAUUGUGCUUGGUGAAGGGUAAAAAUAUUUCAAUGUGUUAAAAUUUGAUGGGGAAGCAAGACAGGAAAUAUGAAAAAAAUCUUUGGGGGGGGGGGAUACUGAAGGACGUGUUUAUCAGUGUUUUAAAGCAAUAUGCAUAUAUAAAAUGUAUUAAUAAUUUCCAUUAAUUCUGCAUGUGACUCUGGUUCACAGUGGUAUGUCUACUGAGAUUGGGGACUUGCAGUAUGUAAAUGAGGCCACAGCAUUAAAUUAGCAUAAA